UACGUAGGGACCGAGCGUUGUCCGGAUUUAUUGGGCGUAAAGAGCGUGUAGGCGGUUCGGUAAGUCUGCCGUGAAAACCCAGGGCUCAACCCUGGGCGUGCGGUGGAUACUGCCGGGCUAGAGGGUGGUAGAGGCGAGUGGAAUUCCCGGUGUAGCGGUGAAAUGCGCAGAUAUCGGGAGGAACACCAGUAGCGAAGGCGGCUCGCUGGGCCAUACCUGACGCUGAGACGCGAAAGCGUGGGGAGCAAACAGG
rnacentral:rRNA from 1 species